GGUAAGCGCACUCGGGUGAUCUGACGGCAGGGAAUGGUCAGUCACAUCAACGGCUCUCAGUCCCUCCCAACCCCCCACACCUACGACGGUUCUCCUCCUUUUAUGCGCCCUGCAUAUCCCUCUGCCUUCCCCCAAAAUACCUCACUCCUCACUCCUCACUCCCCACUGCCUUCCUUCCAGAUGAGACCAGAUUGAGAUCCCUCCUUCACUAUUCUCGUAUCAAUUUCCCUUCUCAUCGUCGUUAUCUUCGUCCCACCACCACCUUCACGAGUCGUCUCUUCCCUCUCGGAUUCUCCUGAUCCUUCCUGAAACCUCCCUCCUACGCAGUGUCUUAUCUCAUUUUUCUCAUUUCGGUGCCGCUGAUCGAUGCCCGCCGUUUUGGUGCCCUCUGACGUUUCCGUUUUCCUAUUCCCCAACACGUCAGAGGAUCUGGUCACGUGUCAUCGCCCUUCCCUCUGUACGUUUUGCAUGAGUUUGACUCCCCGGCCUGGAUUAGCUAUCCCAAAGAUGCAUCAGAAUUGAGGGGGGGAGAGAGUCUGCAAAUAUCUUUGAGCCUUUCCCAUCCCUUUUUGUGGCUGUGAAUUUUUCGUCAUUCUCCUUUUUAUUUUUUUUCCCCCAUUCUACUUUUUAUCUGUUAUCGUUCAGUCCUUCUCUUCCUUUUACUCUCUUCGCCCCGCCCCUUUUUCCUGGCUUGCUAGUAGCAAACCCUAAAAUUUCCAAAUAUACGCCGUUUUAAAGCACCGGGGCAGAAAAAUAAGGAUCCUUCCGAUUUCUGCUUUUUGCAUAUUUCGUUGUUUUUCCUGGAAUGGGUAUCUCUAUUUUCAUCAGAUCUGGGCCAAUUAUAGAAGCAUUUGUUCCGUUGAUUUAUCGAAAGUGCUUUAUUUUCUCGAGGUUUCCAAAUUUGGUCAUGCCCUUUUGUAUUUUCUCCUCCCAUGUUGCCUCUUUCUUGGGACAUAGAAAUUGACAGAAGAGAGUGAGCACACAGAGGCACUUGGUAUAGCUGUAUACUGUUGCUUUUGCGUGCUCACUUCUCUUUCUGUCAGCUUCCAGUGCUGGAAAUUAACUUUGUUGCUAUCUGGCUCUGCUUUGUUCCCAUUUCCAAACAUAACCAUUCUUCUCUCUCCCUCUCUCCGGAAUGCAUCGGAGUUGGAAUACCACUGAAGAAGUUGCAUCGUUCAUUAUCCGACAGUGAAAGGCAUUGCCUUCGGUGUUUGUUUGCCUUUAAACCUUUUUCUCCCGGAACUAUUGCAUUUUAUCCUGUUUUUCUCCGAUGGAUUAUAUUAUUAUUAUUAUUUUAUAGCAGCAAUAGUAAUUUAUUAUUAUAUAUUAUCGGUGGAAACCUGAAAGCGUGACUUUUGAUGGUUCCCGCAGUAGCUACCCCUCAGUACUGUGCAGAUUAAGCGGCAAAGAUACUAGCAUGGGACCAUUCAUAUCACAUAGUAUGGUCCUCACUCUUCACGUAUUUACUUCGUCUUUCUUUCGUCCCUCAGGAUUUAUGUCAUCAUCUUCCAGAUUUCACUCCUGUCCAUAUUUUAUAUAAUUCCUGCGCAUGCGAUGUUCACUCGGUAAGUGGUUCGCUUUGGCUGUUUGUUUUCGCCUGAAUCUAUGUCUACGUUCUGACUCCUCUUGACACUUUUAUUUCAAAUGGGCUCUUUUCAAUUCUAGUCGGUAAACCUUACCAUUACACUGUGUAGGUCCCUUUUGCUCAGAUUACCAAUUAAAGUCGUCUAUGUUUGUUUGAGGAUUGAGCUUUAUUUUCUCGGACUCCCUAAUAGUUUGCAAUUGCUGUAUCACUCUUGGAUCUGGUUUUUCAUAAUAUAUAACGUAAUAUUUUACAGAUUUACAAGACAAAUCACACCAGUUGUUCCACACGAUGCGAGAUCUAAUCUGUGAAUAGACAGUGGGAAAAUUGACUAGAUUUGGCAUGUGCAUGAACUGAUGAUACCGAGCCUCCCUCUUUUUACUGAUUCAUAUGCACAUGCAGGUAAACGUAGAAUGGGUCGUUCUUGGAAGACAUCAUCCUUGCUUUCAUAUGCCCUGAAAGCAUAUGAUUUGACUAAGGAUUGUUGGUAACUUGACAUGAAUUUUUUUUUCCCUUGUUUUUUCUGUUUUCACGUUAUCACUGUUGCAUCUUCUCAUCUCCGAUCACCGGUACAUACAAUUGACAGUCAACUAUAUAUACUCACCAAUUCUCAGGACAAUUAUGAUUAUGACACUACUCUUUCCUGAGCAUUAUAAUUACUCUUGAUUUUUCAGUUUCCUGCAAAACCAUGUUUGAGUUGAACUUGUCAGGAUGCGAAUUGACAAGUUUAUAUGGAUCAUGCAGGCUGCAUCAACGUGUCAUUGAAAGGUUAUUAAUUUAACUUGUUCCUUUUUUAACCCCUAUUUCUCUCAUUCCAAAGUCGGGUGUCCUACUAGAGUCGGAUGGUAGAUGUCCUAAAACAUCUGCAAUUUCCUAUCUCUUAGCGUACUUAAUUUGCUUUCCUACAGUUUUCAACAUUUACAGAGAAUUAUUUAAUAAUUAAAUUUAAAUUUAAAUUUCUUUCCCCACGAUUUUGUGUUGACUGAGUUUUGGGGUUGGUUUUCUGUUGCCACAGCCUUAUUAUAAUAUUAUAAGAUGGAGAUGUAUAUAUGCUGCAUAUAGUCUCAUCUCUAAUGUCAUAUUCAUACGGUUUCCGGUUUGGUAAUUAGCCCUAUUUCUCUGUAAAUUAUUUUUUAUUUUUUAAGUAUUUAUUAUGACACUUCGUAUUCAUUUUUUCUCAAUAAUAAUCCCAUAUUAAUUUAGAAGCUAUUAUAUCGCCUAUUUUAUCUUCUUCUUAAUUACAGCAUAAGCUUGCAAUGUUUGCUCUUUUAUAAUUCCUUUUUAAAAAUCUCAGUGCCUUAACCUAUCAAAGCAAUCACUUUCACAAACUUGUAAUUUGAUGGUUUUAUUAUACUUAUACGGACUCUCUUCAGAUUUCCGAAUCAGUUAUUGUGAUUGCAACAGAGUGUUUUAGACCUGCCCAUUAUUCUUUCAUCAGAAAAAGGCCAUGCUUUUCGUGAGUGGAGCAUUAAUUUAUACUGGUGCAUGACUCUUUCAAUUUGAAUCAAAAAUAAAGAUUUCAGGUUGCGUAAAUUUUCAUGUAAAUCAUUUCAUGUUAUAUAUUUUAUAAAGGUGGAAUAGUGUAGUUUCCGUGAUGUUGAUGAUUAUCAUUUUCAUGCUUGCAUGCUUGUUUUUGUCUAUACUAUAUGAAUGGAUUAAUACUAAUUUAUGGUUAUCAACUGUACAUGGUCAUCAUCAUUGGUGGUUAGUUGUGAACUUUGCCCUAUUAUCAUCAACAUUCUUCUUAUAUAUGCAAACAAUGCCAAAAAUCAUAUACUGUUUCAGAUGGGAGUAUAGUUCAUGGUGUCUUCCACCGUUCCAUUAAGACAGUGAUUGAUUUGGCUCUUAAUUACCUUUCAAGCCUGUUUAGUUUUGUUCAUGGGAUAUCUUGUUGAUGUGAUGACAUACUUACACGAGAGUUUUUUGCCAAUGAUUAACAUGUUCCAGCCCCGAAAGCACACACUGACGCGCUCUAUCUCUGAAAUUCUUCAUAUUUUAGCAUGAAAGAAGUUUAUGCAUCUAAUAGGUAAUUGCUUGUCUGGUUUAGAUAAGGACAAGGUGUUGGCAGAAAAAUAUACGGAUCAGGUGAUGACCGGUUUAUUAGCAUAUUUUAUGAAAAUCUAUUUUUUCCAUCUUGUUUGAGCCCUCUCUCAUAGUGACUUUACCGUCGAUUUCUUAUGAUGCUUGCUCUUAUUAGUGCAAUGUUUUAUACCUUAAAUAAAUGUAAGCAAGAUUAGCUGGCCUGGCCUGGCUUCUAUUAAACCACACAUGGAUAUACACCUGCAUCUGCAUCUUUUUCACGACCGUUUAAUUAAAAAAUAUACUAAAUCAAUACACAGCACAGCUCUUUUCGAAACAUGGUGCUUUCUCAUUCAUUAUCAUGAAGACCUGGAGUUUCCGAGUUCCAGUGCUGGUGACAACAAAUUGAUCAAAAGCAGGAAAAAAAAAAAAACUAUAAUGUCUUUCUCUUUCUAUCUUGGCAAUGAUGGCUUUUCCUUCUACAUUUAAUUUGGUCAUUUAAUGUUUAAAAUUAUUUUAAUUUUUUUCUAUCAUGUUUAUGCCUACAUAAAUAUAUUACAAUAAAACUAAAAGAAAUGCCUGCAUAUGACGUACGCUUGGCAGUGAAUGCAUGGAGGCAAUCUCAGUACAGUCAAAUGAGAAACUAAUUUCUCGAAAUUCUGAAGUUCCGUACCUUGAAUUCCCAAUUCCUAAUCCUAACUUAACGCACAAAGCUAUAUUGUAAAAAAGUGUAUCUAUUGAGUUGAUUAACAUUUCAGGAAAGUAGGAAUGGUCAAAUUCAACAAAUGGUUAGUUCUUGGAUUAACUUCUACACCUACGAAAGUAGAAUAUAAGAACGACGUUGAUAUAUUCCUUCAAAGGUGAGACUUCAUGGACGAAUAAAGCUAUAUUACUAAGUGCAUCGAUAUGCCUUGUGAUCCUUCAAUGGCGAUAUUGCAAAUGCUUACAUUGCCGUUGGGCAUUUACAGCCACUACUGCGAUCAGUUACUGUGCACGUUCCUGCAUGGCCGUGUGCUGAAUGUUAUAAUCAACCUUUUCCAGCCUUAAGUUGGAGAAUUGACACCGUAAAUAGCAAUAAAUCACCAAAGUGGAUAAACAGUUGUUAUAUGUAGAAUUUUUACACCACGUUAAAGAUCUUUUUGGGGCUACUCACGCUGAUGCUGCACAGCAGUAGCAUUUUAAUCAAGCCAUCACCAUCAUCAGUCAUCACAUUCACCAUAGCUGUAAUGGUUUAGGUUACUAUUUUUCUCACAAAUAAUUCUCUGCGUCAUUAUCACCUUUACAUCAAUGUCAGUGUCUGGAAAUAAACUUGUCUGUUAUUCAGUUUACUUUUUUUGUUACUUUUUUUUUUAAUUUUUAAUUUUAUGAUUGCAGAAAACUAAAGAGGUGACGGGCGCGAAUCAUUGCAGGCGAAAUAUCUUCAUGAUUGGUAUUUGGAAAUGAAGAGAAGAGAUAUGAAGAUAGAAACAAUGGAUCUAAACCUCGCUAGUUUGCGGAAACACUACGGCCAGGCUGCAGACUCAGUGGAAAAAAUGAUGCAAAAGAGAGUCUGGUUCGUCUUCGCACCUGUGAUGGAAUUAAUGAAAGGAUAUGUUAUUUGACAAGCCAAGGGAGAAAGUUUCAGUCAGCACACAGCACUCAGCACACCUGGACUGAGGAGGUGGCGCCUUGUUUGUGAAUUUGGUAUUCAUUUAACCGUACAUUUGAGAAAGAUGAACAUUUAUGUAUAAUUUUCGGUGAUUAAAUCUUUGUCAAAUUAUAAGACAAGCUGGUCAAGUUCAUAAAACGCAUCUCUUGACAGUACACAUGGCGUUUAAGGAGGUCAUUCGGGAGUGAUCCAAGGGUUCUUGGCCCCUCAGUUACGCUGAGCUUUGGAAUAUUGGGGAAGCUGAAAAUUGCGCCAGUGUCCAAACUUGGUUCAUGUGAAGUUUUCUUCUCUCUCUCUCUCUCUCUGUGGGAUGAUUUAUUCUAUGAGCAACUUAAACCAGAUGCCUGUUAUAUCAUCGCUUGUAAGUUAUCAUUGACUUGAAUGACGACUGAACCACUUCGGUCCGAGAAAGAUAUAUGCUCUUUUUAGUAAGUUAUCAUUGACUUGAUUGAUAUGUACGAGCACUUGUGUA